UUAAGGGCCUUUGGGGGAGGGUCGAGGGCUGGGAGGACCAUGAGAGCGAUGUCCUCGGCCCGGCCGGGACUUCCCCAGCUUCACAGCCGCGAAAAAGUAUGAAUCUUUUGUUAGGAAGCGGCUCUAUCCCUGCGACUGGGACCAGACAUCUCCACGAAAAGUCCCCUGAUCAGGAAGCCUUCCCCCCCACCCCCACCCCCAGGAGGGGUGGACUAGAUCUCUCCAGUGAAAGCUGGGGCUUGGUGAGGCAGGCAGUCCUCCCUACCCCAAAAGCCCUCAGGAGUUCCCAUCCAGUGGCAGAGUCUGCUGCCCUGGGGACUGAUUUCCACCUUCAGUUCUCCCCACUCCUGCUGCUUCGCCUGCUCCACUUUUCCUUAGAGAGCCUCCUGCAGAGGUCAGCGAAUCCAUUUUGGGGUUGUCUAAAAGAAGCACUCACGGCUCCAAAAAGGAGGGGCUGUAGCCCUUUAAGGAUUUCGCCGGGGAUGGAUUCAGAGAUGAUUUAAAAAUGCCAACUCACAGAGCGCUCUGAAUUCUGGGAACGGGGUGUCAGCUCGAGAACUACACGGACCAGAAUGCACAGCAAACACACACGCCUUUACUUCCUGCUGCUCGGUCGGACCCUGGUUUGACGUAGCGCUCUUCAAAGCAAGUAGCCUAGCGGAGGGCCGAGCCACACCUUUUCACCUAUUGGCCAGCUCUUGAGUUGGUGGGCGUGGCUUAGUGCAACUCUACUUCGGCAAAGGGGUGGCCUCCUUGUCAAUCAGAGCUAAGACAGCCGGAGAGGCGGGAUCAGGGCGAAGGGCUGGCGCCCCCGAGUGGGUGUGGUCACGCUGCACACCAGUAGGCGGUGAUUGGCCCUGGGCGGUGCAAUCGCAACUUGUGCGUCACUACGCCGCCAGCUGAUCGGAGACUGGAGCCGGUGUGUGCUGGGCGCUGGGAAGAGAGCGCCGCCGGCUGUGGGGCACGGACGCACUGAUUUGCUCCCCUGUCCUCAGCACCCCCCGCACACACCCGGCACCAGAUCCAGGCCCCCCAGAACUUUUUCCAGCUGAACUCUCUGGGAAGAAAUCAGUUGGGCUGAUCACUGAACUCAUUUCUGGACCUGAGAUACAACUUCUCACCUAGUACCUUGGAAAAGGGAGCCUGUACCUCCCACACCCUCACCUGGCUGAGCCGCAGUAGUUCUUCAGUGGCAAGCUUUAUGUCCUGACCCAGCUAAAGCUGCCAGUUGAAGAACUGUUGCCCUCUGCCGCUGGCUUCAAGGAGGAGGAGGAGCUGCUUUCCCGCUCAUCUGGAAGGUGACAGAACUGGGGCUGGGAAGGUCUGCAGGAGUGGUGAUGGUAUGUUUCAGGAAAGGGAACCUUGUUCAGUCGGAGAGCCUUCACCCUGAUUGGCGCGGCAAGAGAGAACAAUUUGAGAGACCCUGACUGACUGAGGGGAUAGAUGGCUCUGACUGCCCAAAGUUAGUCAGUCUUUGUGUGACAGUGGGAGGAAGUGGAGCAAAGAAAACCGUGUCUAUCCCUUUUCCCAGAUGUCUUUCUUGACCCUCCUUCCUUAUCCCUCAUUCUUUCCACCGGCCUUUCCAGGUGAGGUCCAGAAGUAAGCCUGCCUCUUCCUGCCAUCUCAGCAGUCAUUCCUCUGCUCUUGCCUCUCCCUGCAUUUCCUUAGACUGGCCCAGACUCUAGAUUCAGGGCUACUUACCUGUAUGAGGCACCCUUAGACAUCCGGUCUCAGCUUCUCCACCUACCUGUGGUAUGGAGAAGUCACCCAGUUAAGUGUGCCAGAGGGAAUCAGAAGCCCAUUUGUGCAGACUCAGCUUGGGGUGGGAACAGAACAGCUUUUCACUUAAGCUAUUGCCCCUCCCCCCUCCCUGACAAUAACCCCAGGGAUAGGGGGUUGGAGGGCUAAAGGGGCUCAGUCUCUACAUUGACUUCUCAUCAUGCUAGGGUGGCCCCAGCCAUCCUCUGCCACCCAUAAUAAGACUGCGGCCCCUGAUGGCUACCACUGCUCUUCUUCCUCACUUGGCUUUCCAGGAUGGUGUGUGAAACUCAACUCAGGCCUGUGCAGGCAGAAAACUUCUCCCCUCCAGCAACCAGCACAGCUGAGUUCUGGGACUCAACCCCCCUUGGGGCAUCAGGCAGUGUAAACCUGCCUUCCCCACCUCCUGAUCCAGUCUCACUCUUUGGCUCAGGCUCUGGUGUGGUUCAGCCUUGGCCUAGAAUCCCUGCCUGAAGGUGGCUGCCUUCAGGGGCUGCAGGAAGCUGUUUGUUCUAUUUGGGGGGAAGAGGAGCCGGGUCCUAUUACCCAUUUAUGAGAAACUCAAAGAUUUAGGGGAGAGUAGACCGUUGAACCCAGCUCUUCCACAGCUUAAGCCGAUGUGUGUGGGACUGGUAGAAGGGGGUGGGUAGACUGAGUCCACUCAACAAAGAUCACUCUGUCCCUGGACAUUGCUUCCGUCCUUUCUUCCCCUCCUCGCUUCACUGGCCACAGUGUUUCCUUCCAGCCUGGGUGUGUGGCUCUGCCAUCCUCACCUAUCAUGGAGCAGAGAUGAGGAGGAGCAUCCUGGGAACUCAGAGGCAGGCGGAAGACCCGUGAAGGACAAAGCCUGGAGAGCACAGGACCUGUCUGGGCACCUUGCAGAGGGGGGGCAUAAAGGCCAGGAGCACCCCAGGAAGAGGGAGGACAGCCAGCCUCCAGCAAGGACAAGCUUCCAGGCAUCUUCAAUCUCUCCACCUUCUUCGGAGAUGUGGGACCAUGUUAAAGUGUCCUGUGGCUUCAUCCUCCUCCUUCCACCUCUCUCCCACCUUGUAAUUUACAUAUAAGCAGCUUCAAGGAACAAGAGCCAGCUGUGAAAGGACAUACACAGGAAAUUCAUAAAAGAAAUGCAAAUGGAUAAAACCAUGACAACAAAUGUGUACUUCAUUAGUAAUUAAAGAGAGGCAAAUACAGCUGUAA